GCUGCUGUGCAUCCUCCCCAAUACCUUGGUGGAGAGUGCGGAACGAGACGAAGGCGUGCACAUCAAGUGCCGGCGCAAAGCCGUGGAUCCCCCCAGCCUGGACGCAUGAUGCUUUUGAUGCUGUCUUGACACGCAAACUCGGAGGAACUAUGCACGCGCUGAGAAGGUGUAAGGAGGAGCCGGGUGCCUUUUUCACGUUCAACUAACUGAUAAUCCUCAGCUGUUGCUUAGUGGGAAAGAGUAGCCUAACCCCCGAUAGCUAUCGUAAGCUUGCGCUUUUCAGUGUGUUCCAGACCCGCCUUGGUUCGGAUGCGGACAGAUGUUGGUAGGAGCCCUGUGCAUAUUUUUCAAGUAGUUUGUUGUAUUGUAGCUCAUCCGUGCCCAUGGAGAAAGCUACCCAGCCCCAGCUGCAGCUGUCAAUAUCCAAGGGGACGGAAAGUCCGGCAGAGGAUAUUGUAAAUUUGUCGGACGAGGAGCUUUUGAAGUGGACCAAGGAGGAGUUGGUGCGGCGGCUGCGUAGGUCUGAAGCGGACAAGAUGAGCGUCAUUAUGGACCACGCCAAUCUGAUCCGCGAGGUCAACCGCAGCCUCCAGUUGCAUCUGAACGAGAUUCGGGGGUUGAAGGACGUGAACCAGAAGCUGCAGGAGGACAACCGCGAGCUGCGCGACCUCUGCUGCUUCCUGGACGACGACCGCCAGAAAGGCAAGCGGGUGUCGCGCGAGUGGCAGCGCCUGGGCCGCUACAGCGCCAGCAUCAUGCGCAAGGAGGUGACGCUCUACCUGCAGAAGCUCAAGGAGCUGGAGCAGCGGCAGGAGGAGGUGAUCAAGGAGAACCUGGAGCUCAAGGAGCUGUGUCUGCUGCUGGAGGAGGAGCGGCACGGGGGGGAGAGGGGAGGUGUUGGGGUGACCGGAGUGGGUGGAGGAGGAGGAGGAGGCGGGGGGACAACUGGACCUGGCUGCCGGAGCUCCAUCGAUAGCCAGAGCAGCCUGCUGAUGGUGCCUGGUACGGGGCUCCUGAUGAGGGAUGUUGGCGACGGGAGCAGCACCUCCAGCGCCGGGAGCGCCGACAGCUCCGACCACCACCUCCACCACCUCCACCUGCACAAGCAGACCCUGCUGGCUGGAGGAGGAGGCACAGGAGGAGGUGGCGGAGGAGGAGGUGGUGGAGGAGGAGGAGGGAUGAUGGGGAGCAGCAGCAGCAGCCCCGAGCACCUCCACAAGUCCAGGACCUCAGUGGGAGGCGGCGGGGGUGGGGGCUCGGGAGGAGGUGGGGGCGAGGUGUCCAGUCCCGAGCACUUCCCCACGCGCCACCGCAGCACCAGCCUGGACUACCCGUACACCCUGCCCCAGCCUUGCCGCCCGCGCUGCGGCUCCAUCUCCGUGCCCGACCACCGCAUGAUGCGGGGGCUCAGCCCGGAGAAGUACAGCCGCUCGGGCGGCGGCGGCGGCAGCGGUGGCCUCGGCGUGGGCCGCAGGAGCCCCGAGCAGCGGCCCAAGCACGGCACCCACGACUCGCCUCUCCAGAAACAGCAGCAGCAGUACCACCACCACACCCACCCGCACGCCCACCACCCCCAGCACCACCACCACCACCAGCUGGGCUCCGGCCCCAGCAGCCCCAUGGGCAGUCUGGAGUUCUUCCAGAGGCACCGGGGCAGCGUGGGCAGCAUGGGCAGUGGCUGUGGCAGCCCGGAGCCCAGGCAGAGCUCGCUGCUGGGCACCACCGAGCACCACAACAAGUGCGGUGGCGUUGGUGGUGGUGGCGGCGGUGGCAGCGGCAGCCCAGAGACGCUGCGGCACCAGUACGGUGUGAGUCCGGAGCACGGCGGCGUAGGGAAGUUCGGCAGCCCCGGCCGAGACGGCGUGCAGCGGAGGCCGACAGGGGACGAAGUCUCGCCCCACCACAGGAGCAUUUACAACGGAAUGAACGGUGGGUCCCCGUCGUCUUCGCCAUCAACCUCAUCAUCAUCAUCAUCACACUGGAGGCCGCCCUUAAUCUGACACACGGGCAGCACUGAUAUCGGCCGGCUGCUGCAGCACCAACUGCAGAAAUGUCAAGAUGUGGGACAGUUUUGAUGCCUCCUCUUGACCACGUCUUCACUUGAACGUGUUGGGGUUCAUGUGCUUCAGGACCCCAGGCUGCUGUAUCGAGACAACUCUGCCAACCUCUCUCUCUCUCUCAAUCUCUCUUUCUCUCACUCUCUCUGUCUCUCCUGUCCCUGUGACCCCAUGACCUUUCACCCUGAGGGCCAUACCCAAAGGGCCACGCCCACACGCCUGGCUCUGGCUCUCCUAUUGGUCCGCACACUGCUCUCUAUUGAUGGCUCUCCAAUCAAAUCCCACCUGGGCCACGAGGCCCCUCUGAUUGAUCUGACUGCCUGCAUAUCAUAUCAUGUGGAGGAAAAGGCUGGACGAACAGACUGAUGUCAUGUUAUGUAGAUGCACAAUGCAGGGCUCAGGCCCAAAGACUGGAGGACAAGCACACUCUGGAGACUAGCACGCAAAACACGCACACACACACACACACACACACACACACACACACACACACACACACACACACACACACACACUCCUACCACUAAUCUCUCUCUAUCUCUCUCAGUAGCUGACCUAACGUAUAGACAUCUUUCUCUCCUUCUCCCCUCCGGUCCCAUCUCACUGAUGACAGGGGGUGAGACGGAUGCACAGUGGACAGCUCUCACUCAGGGUUGUGCUAGUACUGUAUACGCUCCGGACCGAUGGACAGACAGACAGACGUCCUGACCAAAGGGAAAAAGGACAGACCUCAUUCAGCCAUCUCCCAUUCCACUGCUGGAGGACCCGUACCGUGACCAAGUGUUGGUAUGAUAGAAGCCUGUCUGCGUCUCGUACCACCCCCCCCAUUGGUUUGUUGCCCUUGACCUAUACUAUACUAUAGCAAAGUUGAAUGUUUUUUUUUUUUUUUUUUUUAAACCAGUUGACAAGAAAAAGUGACAAGUUGCUUUGUAGCACACUGUGCCUCUUGCAAAGAAAACAACACACAAAAAAGAGAUGCAUUUUGCAACUGACUCAGUGUGUGUGUGUGUGUGUGUGUGUGUUUGUCUGCGUGUGUGAGUGUGUGUGUGUGUAUAUG